GAUGAAGAACGUAGCGAAAUGCGAUAAGUAAUGUGAAUUGCAGAAUUCAGUGAAUCAUCGAAUCUUUGAACGCACAUUGCGCCCGCCAGCAUUCUGGCGGGCAUGCCUGUUCGAGCGUCAUUUCAACCCUCAGGCCCCCAGUGCCUGGCGUUGGGGAUCGGCGCGGCGCCCUCCGGGGCGCUGCCGGCCCCGAAAUUCAGUGGCGGUCUCGCUGUAGCCCUCCUCCGCGUAGUAGCACAACCUCGCGGCCUGGAGCUCGGCGGUGGCCAUGCCGUAAAACACCCCACUUCUGAAAGUUGACCUCGGAUCAGGUAGGAAUACCCGCUGAACUUAAGCAUAUCAAUAAGCGGAGGA
rnacentral:misc_RNA from 1 species